AUACAUCUUCUUUACCUUCCGGUUCAAACAAUAUCAAAAGUUGACCAUUGAUCUUUUUUCCCCAAUAACAACGUCUGCCUGUUUACACUAGAUCGCGCUCUCCUCGUGGACAAUAGUCUCUGACACGCCGAGUUUUGCAAA
ensembl:ncRNA T01B6.9 ncRNA